rnacentral:misc_RNA from 1 species
CUUGUCAUGUUCAGACAGUUCGGGAGGUGUAUAAACUACUAAAGCAUUAGCUUCAUCAGGGUCAUGAAGUGCACAUCGUGGUCCUGCCAUAUGCAUACCCAAACUUCGGCCCGAAAGUCUAUAUCCAGUUCUUUUUCUCUUGCUCUCUCUCUGAGGUAAAGCAGGACCACCCAAUUGAAUGGGAGAAAUUUCCCCGGGUCGUUUGCCCCGUUGGCUGGGGGCUGCUGAUCGCAUCUGGAAUAGACCGCAAUAUGAUUGAUAAUGG